AUUGAACGCUGGCGGCAGGCCUAACACAUGCAAGUCGAGCGGUAACAGGAAGAAUUUGGUUUCUUGGCGAACGAGGGGCGGACGGGUGAGAAAUGUCGGGGAAACGGCCUGCUGGAGGGGGAUAAUUACGGAAAACGGUGGCUAAUACCGCAUAACGUCGCAAGACCAAAGAAGGGGACCUUCGGGCCUUUUGCCAUCGGAUGGGCCCAGAUGGGAUUAGCUAGUAGGUGGGGUAACGGCUCACCUAGGCGAGGAUCCCUAGCUGGUCUGAGAGGAUGACCAGCCACACUGGAACUGAGACACGGUCCAGACUCCUACGGUAGGCAGCAGUGGGGAAUAUUGCACAAUGGGCGCAAGCCUGAUGCAGCCAUGCCGCGUGUAUGAAGAAGGCCUUCGGGUUGUAAAGUACUUUCAGCGGGGAGGAAGGGAGUAAAGUUAAUACCUUUGCUCAUUGACGUUACCCGCAGAAGAAGCACCGGCUAACUCCGUG
rnacentral:rRNA from 1 species